UUGAAAGGGAAACGAUUGAAGUCAGUCGUACCAGCGGGAAUCAACCUUUCGAGUGGGGNUUUGGAGUUUUGAAGAGUGUCAAAACCUUUGAGAUUUCAAAAUUUUCGCUCCUUUGGUGUACUUUCUCGUGGGUAGGUUAACAUCGAUUUCGAUCAUCAUAAAAGGAUUGGAGGAAUGUAGCUUCGAUCUUGUAUUGAAGUGUUAUAGCCUUUGGUAAAUGUGAUGAUUGGGAUCGAGGAUUGCAACGAAUACCCUUUUGGGCUAUCCGCCUGAUCUCUGAUACGUGGCCUUGGUAUCGAAAGCUUGCUUAUGGUAUUAAGGUAUUACGGUCAAAAGGUUAGAACGGAUUACAUUCGUUAAGGAUGUUGACGUA
rnacentral:rRNA from 1 species